CUCCUACGGGAGGCAGCAGUGAGGAAUAUUGGUCAAUGGGCGCGAGCCUGAACCAGCCAAGUAGCGUGAAGGAUGACUGCCCUACGGGUUGUAAACUUCUUUUAUAAAGGAAUAAAGUGAGGCACGUGUGCCUUUUUGUAUGUACUUUAUGAAUAAGGAUCGGCUAACUCCGUGCCAGCAGCCGCGGUAAUACGGAGGAUCCGAGCGUUAUCCGGAUUUAUUGGGUUUAAAGGGUGCGUAGGCGGGACCUUAAGUCAGCGGUAAAAUUGCGGGGCUCAACGCCGUAGAGCCGUUGAAACUGGGGU
rnacentral:rRNA from 1 species